AACCUUAUGGACCUGCGGGCGUAUACCUGCGGAAGGAUCAUUACAAGUGACCCCGGUCUAACCACCGGGAUGUUCAUAACCCUUUGUUGUCCGACUCUGUUGCCUCCGGGGCGACCCUGCCUUCGGGCGGGGGCUCCGGGUGGACACUUCAAACUCUUGCGUAACUUUGCAGUCUGAGUAAACUUAGUUAAUAAAUUAAAACUUUUAACAAUGGAUCU
rnacentral:misc_RNA from 1 species